GCUGGCUGGUGGGGUAACGGCCCACCAGGGCGACGAUGGCUAGGGGGUCUGAGAGGACGAUCCCCCACACUGGUACUGAGACACGGACCAGACUCCUACGGGAGGCAGCAGUGAGGAAUAUUGGUCAAUGGGCGGAAGCCUGAACCAGCCAUGCCGCGUGCAGGAUGACGGCCCUACGGGUUGUAAACUGCUUUUCCCCGGGGCGAAUAACCCCCUCGCGAGGGGGGAUGCCGGUACCGGGGGAAUAAGGAUCGGCUAACUCCGUGCCAGCAGCCGCGGUAAUACGGAGGAUCCGAGCGUUAUCCGGAUUUACUGGGUUUAAAGGGUGCGUAGGCGGGUGGCUCAGUCGGCGGUGAAAUGCAGCGGCUCAACCGUUGCCCUGCCGUCGAAACUGGCCGCCUUGAAUUCGGUCGAGGCCGGCGGAAUGCGCGGUGUAGCGGUGAAAUGCUUAGAUAUCGCGCGGAACGCCGAUUGCGGAGGCAGCUGGCUGGACCGAGAUUGACGCUGAUGCACGACAGCGUGGGGAUCGAACAGGAUUAGAUACCCUGGUAGUCCCAGCCGUAAACUAUGAACACUAGGUGUGGAGGGUAUCGACCCCCUCCGUGC
rnacentral:rRNA from 1 species